GACGAACGCUGGCGGCGUGCUUAACACAUGCAAGUCGAACGGAAAGGCCCUGCUUUUGUGGGGUGCUCGAGUGGCGAACGGGUGAGUAACACGUGAGUAACCUGCCCUUGACUUUGGGAUAACUUCAGGAAACUGGAGCUAAUACCGGAUAGGAGCUCCUGCUGCAUGGUGGGGGUUGGAAAGUUUCGGCGGUUGGGGAUGGACUCGCGGCUUAUCAGCUUGUUGGUGGGGUAGUGGCUUAUCAAGGCUUUGACGGGUAGCCGGCCUGAGAGGGUGACCGGCCACAUUGGGACUGAGAUACGGCCCAGACUCCUACGGGAGGCAGCAGUGGGGAAUAUUGCACAAUGGGCGGAAGCCUGAUGCAGCAACGCCGCGUGCGGGAUGACGGCCUUCGGGUUGUAAACCGCUUUCGCCUGUGACGAAGCGUGAGUGACGGUAAUGGGUAAAGAAGCACCGGCUAACUACGU
rnacentral:rRNA from 1 species